rnacentral:pre_miRNA from 1 species
UACCCGUGCCCCGGUACCGGGGCCACGUCUGCCUAAGCUAUUCAACGUGCACAGCCCCCUAUGAAGGCCCAGCACUGGCCCCGGUGUCGGGGUGACACGGCCCCGGUGCCGGGGUGGGUGC